GCUGCCGGGCUCCUCCCGUGUCUUACGAGCCUCCCGCGCAACCCGCCUCGGCCCAGACGGCUGCACUGCCUCAGCAGCCUCAGCAGCCUCAGCCUCUGACCUGCAUUUUCCCCAACUUGCAGAAUCCUCACCCUCGCUCCAUCUCCGAGACGGCGGCAGCAACCUCGCCUUCCCGCCUCUCCAUCCCGGAGGCACGCAGCGAAGCGGAUCCCCCUCCGAGGCCCAGGCUUCAGCUGCAGGGCGCCCCCUCCAGGUGUCCACGUCGGGCCUUUGGUUCACUCAUCCCUGGGCUUCUGUCUGCGGCCCGCGGUGAAGAAACUAAUGCACAGAAAAUUCUAGCAACAAGCCAGAAAUUAAACAGCUGGAAUAGAAGUUUAUAUGUUUUUGGUUGUCAUUUGCAAACAGGCCAGAUCUAACCAAGAGACACCCGUAAUCACACCUAAUGAAGAGGAAAUGGAAAGUUAAAAGCCAGAGAUAAGCCACUAUUUCUCAUUCACCACCACUUUCAACUUCUCUAAACACCAAAUCUUUCCUUAAAAUUUGAGUAAGUGAACAGAACUAGUAAAUAUGGAGCUUCAUUACAUGGUAGACUGUGUUACAACAGCUCUGCUUUUUUCAAAUCCUGCUAUUUCUUCUACAAAUCCACCAAAAUAAGAGCUAGUAAACCUGAAGUAGCUAAAAUACCAAAGUCAAGGAAACAUGGCAAAGUCCUAUGUGCUUCAGGAUCUUCUGGUAAAUAUUAUAAGAAUCUGAUUUAGGGGCACCUGGGUGGCUCAGUGGUUGACUGUCUGCCUUUGGCUCAGGUCGAGAUCCCAGGGUUCUGGGAUCGAGUCCUUAUAAGGCUCCCUACAUGGAGCCUGCUUUUCCCUCUGCCUGUGUCUCUGCCUCUCUCUUU
rnacentral:lncRNA from 1 species